rnacentral:rRNA from 1 species
KCCGACCCGCUGAAUUCAAGCAUAUAAGUAGGCGGAGGAAAAGGAACUAAACAGGAUUCCCUUAGUAAUGGCGAACGAACAGGGAUAAGCUCAGGUUGGAAACCAGGGCCCUGGUCCUGGGUUGUAGCCUGCAGACGUAGCGCUAUCGGCGGCUUGAGCGAAAGCCUCUUGGAACAGAGCGUGUGCCCAGGUGAGAAUCCUGUGUUUCGCUUGAGUCCGCCGUGUACGGUGCUCGCUCUCAAAGUCACGCUCCUCGGAAUUGGAGCGUAAAUCAGGUGGUAGUUUUCAUCUAAAGCCAAAUACAGACCUGAGACCGAUAGUGAACAAGUACCAUGAGGGAAAGAUGAAAAGGACUUUGGAAAGAGAGUCAAAAGUGCUUGAAAUCGCUGAAAGGGAAGCGAAUGGAACCACAUGCUUGCUGAGAUUGCUGCCAAUGCUUGUGAGCCCUGGUCAUUAAAGCGCAAGCUUCUUGUCUAGGAGUGAGUUGGCAUUUGUAGUGCUUCUUAGCUUGCGCGUCACAUGCCACA